GAACGCUGGCGGCGUGCCUACUACAUGCAAGUCGAGCGAACAGACGAGGAGCUUGCUCCUCUGACGUUAGCGGCGGACGGGUGAGUAACACGUGGAUAACCUACCUAUAAGACUGGGAUAACUUCGGGAAACCGGAGCUAAUACCGGAUAAUAUAUUGAACCGCAUGGUUCAAUAGUGAAAGACGGUUUUGCUGUCACUUAUAGAUGGAUCCGCGCCGCAUUAGCUAGUUGGUAAGGUAACGGCUUACCAAGGCAACGAUGCGUAGCCGACCUGAGAGGGUGAUCGGCCACACUGGAACUGAGACACGGUCCAGACUCCUACGGGAGGCAGCAGUAGGGAAUCUUCCGCAAUGGGCGAAAGCUUGACGGAGCAACGCCGCGUGAGUGAUGAAGGUCUUCGGAUCGUAAAACUCUGUUAUUAGGGAAGAACAAAUGUGUAAGUAACUAUGCACGUCUUGACGGUACCUAAUCAGAAAGCCACGGCUAACUACGUG
rnacentral:rRNA from 1 species